rnacentral:rRNA from 1 species
ACACUCCUACGGGAGGCAGCAGUGGGGAAUAUUGCACAAUGGGCGCAAGCCUGAUGCAGCCAUGCCGCGUGUAUGAAGAAGGCCUUCGGGUUGUAAAGUACUUUCAGCGGGGAGGAAGGCAAUACGGUUAAUAACCGUGUUGAUUGACGUUACCCGCAGAAGAAGCACCGGCUAACUCCGUGCCAGCAGCCGCGGUAAUACGGAGGGUGCAAGCGUUAAUCGGAAUUACUGGGCGUAAAGCGCACGCAGGCGGUCUGUCAAGUCGGAUGUGAAAUCCCCGGGCUCAACCUGGGAACUGCAUUCGAAACUGGCAGGCUUGAGUCUUGUAGAGGGGGGUAGAAUUCCAGGUGUAGCGGUGAAAUGCGUAGAGAUCUGGAGGAAUACCGGUGGCGAAGGCGGCCCCCUGGACAAAGACUGACGCUCAGGUGCGAAAGCGUGGGGAGCAAACAGGAUUAGAAACCUCAGUAGUCCCAU